GACGAACGCUGGCGGCGUGCUUAACACAUGCAAGUCGAACGGAAAGGCCCUGCUUUUGUGGGGUGCUCGAGUGGCGAACGGGUGAGUAACACGUGAGUAACCUGCCCUUGACUUUGGGAUAACUUCAGGAAACUGGGGCUAAUACCGGAUAGGAGCUCCUGCUGCAUGGUGGGGGUUGGUAAGUUUCGGCGGUUGGGGAUGGACUCGCGGCUUAUCAGCUUGUUUGUGGGGUAGUGGCUUACCAAGGCUUUGACGGGUAGCCGGCCUGAGAGGGUGACCGGCCACAUUGGGACUGAGAUACGGCGCAGACUCCUACGGGAGGCAGCAGUGGGGAAUAUUGCACAAUGGGCGGAAGCCUGAUGCAGCAACGCCGCGUGCGGGAUGACGGCCUUCGGGUUGUAAACCGAUUUCGCCUGUGACGAAGAGUGAGUGACGGUAAUGGGUAAAGAAGCACCGGCUAACUACGUG
rnacentral:rRNA from 1 species